rnacentral:ncRNA from 1 species
CCGUCAAGCCGUUGCUAAUGACAGUUUGAUAGUUUCUCCUCUAUUUCUCCUUUGUAGACUUGGCACACAUUCCCGCGAAUGUGUGCAUUUUU